rnacentral:rRNA from 1 species
UGGGGAUAUUGCACAAUGGGGAAAGCCCUGAUGCAGCAACGCCGCGUGAGUGAAGAAGUAUUUCGGUAUGUAAAGCUCUAUCAGCAGGGAAGAAAAUGACGGUACCUGACUAAGAAGCACCGGCUAAAUACGUGCCAGCAGCCGCGGUAAUACGUAGGGGGCAAGCGUUAUCCGGAUUUACUGGGUGUAAAGGGAGCGUAGACGGCGGUGCAAGCCAGAUGUGAAAGCCCGGGGCUCAACCCCGGGACUGCAUUUGGAACUGUAUAGCUGGAGUGUCGGAGAGGCAGGCGGAAUUCCUAGUGUAGCGGUGAAAUGCGUAGAUAUUAGGAGGAACACCAGUGGCGAAGGCGGCCUGCUGGACGAUAACUGACGUUGAGGCUCGAAAGCGUGGGGAGCAAACAGGAUUAGAUACCC